GGCUCGGUAGCUCAGAUGGUACAGCACUCACCUGGCGUACAAGGGUCGUGAGUUCAAAUCUCACCUGAGUCU
rnacentral:tRNA from 1 species